AUGUUUAGGAAUGUUUAGGAAUUUUUUAAAGUUUCUAAUAUAAAAUGUAUUUUAUUUCAAUUUCUCCCCAGGGACAGAAGACGAGUAGGUCUUCAGAAGAGGAGGAGGAGCAGGACAGUGUUCAUGAAUCUGAGGUGACUGAAGGAGUAGCCCAUUGUUUCUUUGAGUGGAAAGUAAGAAGGUUGCAUCCUUGGGGAAGUGUCUAUGUGAAGAGCAAAGAAAUGCAGAAACGUAUUGGCACCCCCGACAGUGGAGUCAGCGCACUGCUAUCUGAAAAGACAUUUGAGAGCACGAGAAUGAUUUUGCAUUUGAGCUGACCUUCAAUUUCCAUCUCAAGCAUGACAAAAAAAAAAAAUAGUGUGGGUUUCCUUUUGUGUUGGUUAUUCUCUUCUUCUUUUCUCUUUGCAAGUUGUGUUCCUCUCUUUUAUUUAUCCCUUUUGGAAAACCUCCUCUGAAUAUCGAGUGCCUCCAUCAGUUGGCCUCUUUCUUAAUCCGUCAACUUUCUGCAUGACCUCUCCGACUGUCUGGAGGAGCAAUCUGUUCCUGUUCCAGGCUGUUUCCUACCUCGCUGAUAGCCUGCUUACUCUCCUUCAGGGCUGCCAAGGACCAAGGUCUCUCCGUGUGACACAUGGCUACUGUGUCAGUCACAGAGUCACAGACUGAAACCAAUACCUAUGGCCCUGCUGCUCCUAGUCCUUUAAAAGACCUCUGGGCUGUAACAUUCGGUCUCUCCCACAGUUGCCAUUGCACGAUGGGGCAUCCGUUGAGCCAGAGCAAGUGGCUGGGAAGAAAUAAGAGGACAACGUGGUGCAGGAGAGCCCAGAAAAGCUAUGAGGGAAUUUAUGUCAGGGUAUUGUGUAUUGUGAAAUGUUAAAAUCAAUCUGGGUUAUUAGAAAUGCCUUAUGUGUUAGUUUUUCGGCACGGCAUUUCAGCAGUUAUGGAGUUCAUGAGAGUCUACUAUGAUUGAUGUAUCACAGGACCAAUGGGGUCAAGUUUGUUUUGACCGGGACUUUCUUUCUUGUUCCUGUGGAAUGCAGAGGAGUUUCCUGAGCAGAAGAGCAGUGUGCUGUGUGUGCAUGAGUCGCUUCAGCGAGCACUCAUGGAGAGAAGGACUGAUUUGCUCUGUUUGUAUAUAGAAAUGUAAAUAAAAGUUUAUUGCCAUUGGAUUUCCAACCGAAC
rnacentral:lncRNA from 11 species